rnacentral:lncRNA from 10 species
UGUCCUCAGGCCCAUUCCCUGUACCUUCCCAUCCACUAAGCCUGGCCUCUACCUCCAUGGACCCUGCCAGAGCCGGAAGAGGACUCUUACCUUCCCUCUAACACUUACCUCAUAGGCAUGACUCUAAAAUCCUGGGAUGACCUGCUGCCAGGCCCACCUUCCUACUACCUCCAGCCAUUUUCUCUUCCCAGUUCUUGAACCCUGUUGCUUCCAGCUCCAGCCCAGCCUCUCUCUCAUCCUCCUCCCACCCACUCUAUCCACUGUCCAUCUCUUGUUCACUUUACCCUGUGAAAUCUGAGCUCUACUGGGCUGGAGGUGGGGGUUUCCCAUUUGUCGUGAAAUUUUUCGUUACCUCUUCCCCAGGACAGACAGGGUUGGCUUCCAAAGGUUAAAAACUAUCUGAACAUGGUAAGACAUAGAACCCCCACAAUAAUCGGAUUUUCCUUGGAAAACUGAACAAGCCUCAAUAUUGGCGGGAGGGAGCAAGACUUGCAAGAAGUUAGCCCACACUUUCAGCUGUUUGGGAUAACUCAUUGACUUUUAGAAAUUCCAGAGGGCAUUCUGUUGCCCCUCCAGGGUGCUUCAUUUACUUACCACAGUAAUGUGAAUGCAAUCCAGGAAGGCCCAGCUUGCCCAACCCAUCAACUACACAAGGUAUGGAGAGAUAAAUUUGUAGAUGUUUUAGGUCAUCCACCAAUACACAUCUAACAUAUAUUAGCCAUAUCCUUAUGUCUCAUAAAUUAAGAAUGAGAGUGCUAUAGAAGGAACUCUAGUGAUCUUCUAUUUUGCUAAUAAGAAAAUGGAAACACAAAAGCUACUACGUGGUAAAACUUGGAAGACACACACCGAAGGUGAUCCUCUUCAAAAAGACAAAAUGACAAAUGCCUACAAGUACAUGAUAAUCUGAAAUGAAAUGCCCUGUAGGUCCACUGAUUUGCAUUACACAAUAAAUCUGCCAAAUCUACAAGGGGAAGAUCAGUUUUGGGAAUACAGUGGAUUACUGUAGCAGGCAGCUGCCAGAACCUGGAACUGAUAAAGAUCCACUGAAGAAAAGAUAUGUGCACAGGAAUGCAUGACCAUAUACACUAAUAUACUUGAGAGAAAUAAAUGUUAAUAAGUUAUACUAAGUUUGGCUGUCUGGCCUACACGAUGUCAGGGCUUUUUAGUAUUUCUUACAAAAACUCAAAGCUUUCUUCCAUGAACUUUUUGGCAGCAAAUCACUGCUGAAGGCUUACAACCAAAUCCCCACUGGGGCACUCAGGAACACUCAAAUGGAAGAGGGCAAAGGAUAUGAGGCUGCAGUUGAGGCCUUCCAGAUAUCAUGAGCAGCAUGCACACAAGUUGGAGCUGUUGUUUGCUACCAGUGAAUACUAGGACUAAAAAAUAAAGGCAUUGUUUCGUUUAUCCUUGACACCAUUCUUUUCCAUUUUGUCUCUGAAAAUUCCCUUUACGUGCAAUUUUAUUCCUGGCAAUGCAAAUUUGAUUUCUAACUCAUGGCACUGUUGAACUCCCAUCUUCACCCCCAGAGUUCUUUGAAAAACACUACCUGUUCCUUUCCUCCCUUCUGAACAUUAUCACUUUAAAACAGCAGGACUCAAACUUGCAUUGAACUAUAUUCUUUGUGGGGUUUUUAAAACCUUCAUUACACAAUAAAGAGCUAUUGUGAAAAAAAAUCAGAAAACAUAAAUAAGCCAAUAGAAAUUCAUCAUUCAGAGACACUGGUGUACAUAUCAUGCAGAUAUAUUUGUUUUUAUAAAAAUGGCACCACUAUGAAUCUUCCGUGUGAAAAUGUCAUCAACAUUAUUCCAUGUCAAUAUGUUCUCUAACAAAACCAUUUAAUGACUACUUAAUAUUUCACUUUAGGUAUGUAAUAUGAUGUACUUAACAAAUCCCCUAUUAUUGUAAAUUAGAGUGGCUUUCUAUUAUACUUUAGGCUAUUAUAAAAUCUGGCAGUGAAGACGCUUUCUUAAAAUAUAUUUACAUGUAUAUUUGUCUGAUGGUUUCUUUAGGACAAGUUAUUAGAAAUGGAAUUGCUAAGCCAAAAGGCAUUUAGCCCACCACCAUCCCCCUUUUAGGUCUUUUUAUUCAUAUUGCCAAUUCAUCCUCCAAAAGGGUUAUUCUAAUUUACUCUUUUUAUAUAUCAUUCAAAAAAAUAUUUAUUUUGUGCCUACUUUUGCUAGGCACUAUCAAUAUAAUCAUCGAUAACAAAACGGACGCAGUCCCUGCCCUCAAGGAGCUUCCAAUUUAAGGAAGAGAGAGACACCCACACCCACAUUAUCAGAGAUUCUUCAUUAUUUUAAGUUGAGGUAAGCUAAAAAGGAAAACUGCAAGAUCACAGCAACUUAGAAGAACCCAAUACACCCUGAAGGAUCUGGAAGAGCUUCCAUGAGGAAGAAUGGUUCUGGGCUGGGGGCUAAGGUUUUCUGGUAUAAAUCAGGUAAAAACAGGUUCUAGAGAGCCUUGGAGAAAACAUUCUAAGCAAAGGGAACAGUGUGGACAAAGCCGCUGGGAGGGAAAGGAACACAACCCAUUUGAAAACAUGUAAGCAGCUCACUGUGGCUGGGGCACAGAGGCGGUGGAGAGACAAGGCAAGAGGCCAGGCCACAUGGGCCUUCCAGCAGAAGUAGUGUGGACUUCCUGCACUCUCCCCCACUUGUGAGGUAUUCAACACCCAUGUGCUGAAACAGUCAUAUGGCGUCAGAGCCUAAAGAACUAACAACUCAAUAAUGACACAUGUAUUAGUCAGUUCUCACACUGCCAUAAAGAUACUACCUGAGACUGGGUAAUUUGUAAAUUACAGGGGUUUAACUGACUCACACUUCCAUAUGGCUGGGAGGCCUCAGGAAACUUAAAAUCAUGGAAGAAGGCAAAGGCGAAGCAAGGCACAUCUUACAUGGUGGUAGGAGAGAGAGAGAGAGUGUGAAGGGGAAGUGCCACACUUUUAAACCAUGAGAUCUCAUGAGAAUUCCCUCACUAUCACAAGAACAGCAUAGGAGAAACUGCCCCCAUGAUCCAGUCACCUCCCACCAGGUCCCUCCCUCAAACACAUAGGGAUUACAAUUCGAGAUGAGAUUUGGGUAGGGACACAGAGACAAGUCAUAUCAACACAAUAAACUGUAAGUCAGAAAAACAGAUGUAAAUAAAGCUGCCAAGCUACCUUGCAUAAGGAACGUACUUUCAAUCUGUUCCCAAACAUUUACACUUACAAUAUCAUGCCAUGUGCUUUAAACAAUAUAAUCAGCUAAAUACAUUGGUUUAAUAUCUUGUCUAAAAUAUCUGCAUUCUUUGACUUUAACAAAUAAUAUGUUAAGGCUGAAAAAUAUUAAAAAGUAUUUAAAGUUUGUCAGAGAAGCUUCAUACUCAUAUUUUACUUAAUAUAAAAAAAACCACAUAUGUUACUUAAAGUUCUACUCUGGAGAAAAAGCUACCCCCAUAAUCUUUCAGUGACUGUAAUUGGGCAAGUUCUCUUUAUUCUGACUUGGGUUUUCUUCUAGAUAAUCUUCUGCAUGAAUAAAAGUUAAAAUCAGUGUUUUUGUAUUUUUUAAAAUCAAAAGAAGACAUCAAGUACUCCGUGUGCAGUGUUUUAAUUUAUCCAUGUAC